ACUGGGCAACCUUCUCCCUCGACAUUUGCAGGUGUGUUUUGUUUGAAUUUUGCAAUGUACUUUCUGCUUUGAUAAAGUUUACCCGUUUCUUUGAAUUACUUUAUGUGAUUGAAAGCCUAAGUAAUUCUACUGGACAAGCUUCAUCUUACAAUAUUCUUUCAUUUAUAUCUGAUGUCAUAUGGUUUAAGCUUCAUCUUAAUAAUUUUCUUAACUACAGCAUCGUGCCUCCAAGGUACAGAAGCAUGCAUGUGGUUAAUUAUUAUUUUCCACGUAACUCUUUCCUGUAUUACCACACUCCUUUAGAUUGUAAUUUAUUAGUUUGAUUGGUUGUCAACUUGUUUCCUAAUAUUUUAGAAAAUUGCUCUUUUCAGAUUAUAUAUGACAUAAACUUCAACUUUGUGGAAGAGUUAAAGAAGAUGAUUGGUUUAGAUUAUGAUCGGCUGACCAGGAUGUCAAUUGUUGAGGAAGGUGCUGUGAAGGUAUAUAUCUCAAAUUUUAUGGGUUUCUAAAAUUUAUGUUGUGUUGAUGGAUUGCUAGAAUGUUAUGAAAAUUGAAGUUCAUAACCAUCCCUUUUGUCAGAAUAUUCGAAUGGCAAAUCUAUCAGUUAUUUGUUCUCAUACCGUGAAUGGUGUGUCCAGAUUACAUUCAGAGUUGUUGAGAACAAAAUUAUUCAAGGUAAAACUUAUAUUUGUUUUUUCCUGCUUAAACGUUGCCUUUCCUUGUAACAAGUUUGAAAUAGAACCCAGCUACGAUGAAUGUCUUUAAUUAGUUUAUCUUAAUUGUUGUCCAUUAAUGCUUUUCAGGACUUUUAUGACCUAUGGCCGCACAAGUUUCAAUACAAGACUAAUGGGGUGACACAGGUUUAAAAUAAGUUACAGUUUUUUCAGUACAUUAACUUACUGAUAGGUUAAGUUGUUUGCUACCUGUAAAUAAAUUUUAGGCUUGUUACUGUGAUGCUGUGAUGCAUCUUGCCCUGAUAACUAAAAGUACGCGAAUAAUUUAAAUUCACCCGCUGUGUAGUUAUUUUGAUCUCUUAAUAUUUGGUUUCUCAGCGUCGCUGGAUUGUUGUUAGCAAUCCUAGUUUAUGCGCUCUUAUCUCAAAAUGGCUUGGAACAGAAGCUUGGAUCCGUGAUAUUGACCUUUUAAUAGGCUUGAGAGAUUAUGCAACUAAUGCUGAAUUGCAUCAAGAAUGGAAGAUGGUACUUUCAUAGUUGGCAUGCUUCACCUUUGAAACAAAACAUAUCAUUGGCUAACUCAUUCAUUUAUUGUUAACUAUUAUCUCAUAGGUUAAGAAGGUCAACAAAAUAAGGCUUGCCGAGUACAUUGAAGUGAUGAGUGGUUUGAAGGUUUUGAAGAAAGCUAUAGUUUUUGCACCUACAUUUCUUUUUCCAUUUUUAAGGAGCUCUGAAAUGAUGUAAUGUUGGUGCAUUAUUUGUAACGGGCAGGUCAGCUUGGAUGCAAUGUUUGAUGUGCAGACAAAGCGAAUACAUGAAUAUAAGCGGCAGUUGCUUAAUAUACUUGGCAUUAUCCAUAGAUAUGAUUGCAUCAAGGUUAACACCAUCUUUGGCUGAAAGAGCCAUGAAAACUUGUGGAAUUUAUCAAAUGCUUCUUUUUAUAUGUGCCUUUUUGAAUUGUCCUUGUAGCAAACUAACAACAUAGGUUUAAGUUAUUACCAUCCUGUUGCUGGAUGUUUGCAAGACCAACAAUUCCUUACUCAUUGUAAUAUGAGUUGAUUAACCAUUUCCUUAACCAUCAUCUUUUUGGCUUUGCAUAAAGAUGUUUAAGUAUUAAAAAUUGUGCAUAUUUUCGAACUUUGUAAAAUAAGUUAAAAGAAUGUGUAACUCAGAGGUAUCUUUGCUCAUGCUAUUCUCAUUUGGUGCAGAAUAUGGACAAGAAUGAUAGGAAAAAAGUUGUACCACGGGUCUGCAUAAUUGGAGGAAAAGCUGCUCCAGGAUAUGAAAUUGCAAAGAAGGUUAUAAAACUCUGUCAUGCUGUGGCUGAAAAGAUCAACAAUGAUAAUGAUAUUGGAGAUCUUUUAAAGUUGGUAAGCUAGUAUUUAUUUUAUCUAGAAGUUCAAUGGAACUCUGAAGCGUGUAUUGUUUACUAAGAAGGGUGAGUAAUUUACCCUUAAAACAGAUAUAAUCAGCAACCAUGAUGAUGAAUUAAAGCUGCAAGGACCUUUAUAUUUGUCUUCUAAUAACAUAUCUGUCUUUCUAAGUCAUUAAGUACUAUUGCAGGUCUUUAUCCCUGAUUACAACGUUUCUGUUGCUGAGAUGGUAAUACCAGGGGCUGACCUUUCUCAACAUCUAAGGUAGUAUGCAUAAGUUUUGCACAUUAGAUGAUAUUAUUAAUUUCGUUAGCAGUUACAUUAUGUUUUGUAGUGAUUGCUGAUUGUGAUUUUUCUUUGUGUUUUUAUGUGGUCAACUAUUGGCUUCACUUAUAUAGAUAGAUCUAUUUGUCACUCUAAAGUUGUAUACCUCCAUUUUACCAUUUAUUUGGGUCGAAAUAUUUUGGAAUCUUUUAGUAUUAAUUGUCAUUAAGCUUACGUAUGAGCAGUUCAGAAUCACUAGGUUGAUGGAAUAAUAUAAUAUAAUAUCCAAGUGAUUAGUUGGGGCAGAAUUAGUCUCUCCACCUUCUGAGCCCCUUUUUCCAGAAUUAAAAAAAAAAAAAAUCCUCCUUCCACUCAACUUGUCUACUUCUGAUGUAUACUAUUUUUAUUUUCUGGUCCAGCACUGCAGGACAUGAGGCAUCAGGAACUGGCAGCAUGAAAUUCUUGAUGAACGGAUGUUUACUUUUAGCCACAGCAGACGGUUCUACAAUUGAAAUGGUUGAAGAAAUAGGUCAGGAUAACGUGGUAAGUGCUAAAUCAACAGUCAUACAAAUGAAUCAAGGUAAAAGUACCAUAAAGUCCUCUAUAUUAGGAGUCAGAUUGCAUUUUACCUCCUCUACUCAAGAAAUAAGCAAAUUAGUCACUAUACAUUAGAUCAAAGAGCAAACUGGUCCUUCUAUAAAAAAUUUCAUCCAUUUCUGCUUUUAAAAGUUGGUCUCUUUACGUUAACAUGAGGUACACGAGGCACGUCAUAUGUCACUGUCUAGUUAUUUCGUCAAUCAUGCCAGUUUUUAAUAAUACAAAAGAAUAAAAUUUUUAAUAGAAAGUACCAAUUUACUGUUUAAUCUAAUGUACAGGGGCUGGUAGAGCCUCCAUGGUAUUUUUAUAAUGAAUUAACAAUAUUAGUAGGAGUAGAUUUCUGAUAACAUUUCUUUCAGUUCCUGUUUGGAGCAAAAGCGCAUGAAGUUGUUGCGUUGCGCAAGAAAGGACCCACUCUUAAAGUUCCUCUUCAGUUUUCGCGUGUUGUAAGGUAUUAUACCCCUUCAUUCUACGUAAUGUAUAGCUUUAUCAGUACGUUUAUGUAUCCUUGCUUUUCUUAUACAGAGGUUGAGUUGAUUUAGAUAUUCUUGGUUUAAAUUUCAAGUGAUUUGAGUGGCAUUGUGUAACUAUUAUAUGUAGGAUGAUCCGAGACGGUCAUUUCGGGUUUGAAGACUAUUUCAAAUCUUUGUGCGACAAGAUAGAGGGCACGAGUGACUAUUUUCUUCUUGGUGCCGAUUUUAUGAGCUAUCUAGAGGCCCAGGUAAAUAGUUGGUUUUCCAUCAGUUAGAAAUAAGAAUACCUUGUAAAAGGGAAUUGCAUUUUAAUUGUGGACUGUGUUGAGAUGAACAGGCAGCGGCUGAUAAAGCGUUCGUUGAUGAAGAGAGAUGGACAAAAAUGAGUAUACUUGGUGCAGCUGGCUCUGGGAGAUUUAGCAGUGAUAGGACAAUCCAAGAGUAUGCUGAAAACACUUGGGACAUUCAACCUUGCAGAUGUCCCUUUUGAUUUGGAAAGUGAGAGCUACUCGAAAUAGAAUGAAGCUCUCGCAAUGUCAUGUGCGGGGCUUUUUUAUUUAAUAAUAAAAUAAAACGAAUUGAAUCGAAUAAAAUUACAAUGAAUAAUAACAAUGUUUCUAAAAUUAAUAAUAGAAAAUAAUCAAAGCAGAAACAAAAUUAAUAAUAGAAAAUAAUCAAAGCAUUCAAAAAUAUUUGAGUUGGAGCUUGAGAUAAAUAUUGUUGUUGAUAGGACGUUAUAAAUGUUUAUUUAAAAAAAUUCAGACGGAAACAUAUUGCAAACUUUUUUGCCCAUUUCAAACAAUUUUGAUUUUGGACGAAUUAUAAUAAUAUCUUCUCUUUUCCUUUACCAAAAAGAUAUAUCUUGUCUUUUUCGUAAAUAGAAAUAACUUUAUUCAACUGAUUUUUGUUUGGUUGUUCAUACUUCAUGAAAUAACAAUUUCCUCCUGGAUUCUACAAGCUUCGAUUACCCGCCACUAUUUCUGUUUACUUCUUCCGAGAAGAAAAAGGGAGAAAAGAUAAAAAUAAAAAUAAAAAGGGUUGUUUAGAAGAGGCAGUAAUGGCGGUUAAUAUGAUUCUCCUUCCCUCCAUUUUCAGUUUUUUCUUCUUCGUCUUCUUCUUCUUCUUCUUGUCACUCGCAUCUCAAGAUGAACAAAGUAACAACCACAAUCUCUUGAUCCUUGAAUUGCGCGACGCCAAGCUCAAGAUCUCUCGUUUGGGUAAAAUUUCUUUUUUAUUUCUUUACUGAUAAAUAUAUACCUUACUUAGAGUUUCCAAACAAACACUGAUCUUAACCUCGAUUCCUUGAUUGUUGUAAAAUAUGGAUGCAGAAUCUGUUCUUGAAGAAAGAAUUCAAGACCUUAAUGCUAAAACCCUUUCUCUUAAGGAACACCCGAAAUCCCUCGAGGACAUGGCAAACAAGAGCACUUAUCUGCAGUCUGCUCUAUCUGAUCUUAAGGUUCAAUUCUUUCCUAAGAAGCUUUGCUUUUGUUUUUAGCUUUGUUUUCAUUUGUAUGUUACUCGGGUUUAUUUGGAUUGAAUGCCUUCUCCCUAUUGUUGUCUCAAAAUGAAAAAAAAGGUGGGGGGUGCUUUUGAAAGCAGAAAAUUGAAUAUUGGUAGGGUUUAUUCACUUAGUAAUCUUGUUCCAAAAUUACAUAGCAUAUUGACAUGUAAUUUUGCAAUUUCUAAAUGUAGAUAUCAAAUUGACAUGUUAUUUUGCAAUUUCUAAAUUGUAGGAUCAUUCGUUUCUUGCUGAUGAAAAGCUUAACGCUCAAGAAGAGGAGGUUCGUUUUAAAUGCUUCUAUAAAUAUAAUCGCUCUUUCAAUUUUUUUUUCGUCCUAUUUGAUUCCUUGUCAUGUUUGUAAGGGUGAGUGGCAAGAAAUAUUUGCUUUUGUGCAAUUCAACUGACUUUAGUACCAGGCUUCAUGAUCCUAGGUACACGGCCUUUGGGCUGUUUCGAGAAAGAGCAAUUUCGAUCUUUAUGUUUUAGAGUUGAAGGUACAGGACGCUGAGGAUAGACCGGAAGCUGUUACAUAGUUGGAAAGGUUAGCAUUUACAUUCGUUAAUUUUGUUUCUGUGUAGAGACUCUGCUUGUAAAUGAUGAGAUCUUCGUCUUGUUUUUUUUUUUUUUUUUUUUUGGGGGGGGGGGGUACAAUUAUAAUAUGAGGUGAACCCUAAACCCUGGGGUGUCAACAAGAGAGCAUCAAUCACUGCUCCAAGGGGAUGUUGGUGAGGGGUUUUUCUUGUUUGUCAUACACCAUGACCAUCUAAUGCUGAAUGACUAAGUAUUUCUUCAUAUUAUAACGUUAUAUAAUCUAUAAUAAACUUUAAUGCCUCGUUUAGUUAUCUAGUGUAUUAACACAAGGAAAAGCUUACUACAUAAGUAUUAAAAUAGUUUGUCAUAACAUAUAGUGUAUAUUUAAACUUGAAAUUAGAAAGAUAAGUAGAACUCUAGUAAAAAAUAGGAACUCUAGUUAGUUUGUAACUCAUGUACUAAGACAUGAAGAAAUAAUAUUCCUACCGAACGUAGCAUAAGAGUUUCAUCAAUAACUGCAAGAAUGCUUUAAGCACCUAUUUGCUGCUGUUCCAAUUAUUGAAGUUUGUGUUGCCUCAUUUCUAGAUUUAAAUAUCCUUGUUGGGUUGGUUAUCAGGUAUUAUGGUUUAGGUACCAGUCACUGGCUCAACGCUAAGCUGUAUUUCUUUAAAUGGAAGAGAAUUAUUAUAUCCUCAUAUUCUUUCUAAGUUGUUAAUGAAAAUGACCAUAUUUUAUCAGAACUCUUUCUUGGUUAUUUGAACUUUCUUUUGAUUGUUGAUGUGUAAAAGCCUUGAAAACUUGUUUAUUGCCUUUUGAUUUUAUUAUCUCUUGAUAUAACUAAUAUUGAAAUAACUUGUAUUUUACUCACUCAAAGUUUCAUUCCCUUGCAUUUUAGAUGGCAGAAGUUGUUACAGAACAAUGGGUUCAAAUUCAACAUCUUGAGCAGUUACUUCAAAUUGCUAAAGUAUGGUCUUAGGCCCUAAUGAUAUCAGUUAUUUGUUAAACUCGGGGAAAUUUGAAAGAAAAUGACGAUAAAGGUUUUUCUCAUUAUAAUUAUCCUUUAUUUGCAUCAUUUCUUUGUGUUACAGAUGAGGGCAUUGCAAGCUCAAAAGCAAAGGAAUAUGAGAUGCACAUUCUUGAAGGUAAGAUAAUAAGUUGACAGUCUUUCAGACCUCUUCUUUUCCUCAGUCUAUGUCCCUUUAAAUUACUGGAAAUUUUAUCUUUGUAUAUCAAAGCAUCAGCAACAGUUAUAACUUUUAUAGUUCCUUUUAGUUAAGGCAAAAAUACUUUGUCAUAUGCUCGUUUUUCAUGUUAGUCAUAAGAUAAUCUAAUCUUGUAUGUGAAUAGUUCAUAGAUGGCAUUUCUGGAAGACAUCUACCGAAGCUGUUCAAGGCCUUGGAUGCUUAUUCAUUGGGAAAAGGACCUAUCAUAAGAUACUAUGUGUCUCAAGCUCUGCAACAAUUGAAAAGAUUUUACUCAGCUAUUAGAAGGUUUCACCCUGAGGUAUGUUUGAUACUGCAUGACUUUCUAGAUUCUUGUCUGAAAAAUAGUGGUGUCACUCUUGAAGGUCUUCACAUGUCAAAACUUACUUGACAUUACCUUUGUGAAAGUUUCCAUAAAAAAAAGUGGUCACGAAACAUUUGAAUUUCAGUAUUGUGCUUGCCUCUAUCAACACCUCUUCCACUUUCCUUAGCAAUUUGACCCAGAAGACUGUAAGAUAUAAUGGCUUCAAGAUUGCAGAAUCUCUUUCUUUUACUAAGUUCUGAAACUUAUUAUGGAAACUUUUGGUCUUUUCCAACCUAAAAAAUGGAAAAUCGGUGGGUUGAUCGGUCAUGUAAAUAAGACUGAGUAUUCGUGGAAUUAUAGUUCUAUCAGCCAAGAAGAGUAUAUUAUGAACCUUAAACUAUGUACCUACAUAGACUAUGUACCUUAAUUGGCCCUUUAUUGUUGCCUUGAAUGAUAUUAACCAUACUCUAACUUUUAUGACCAAGGCACUGAAAUUGCUUGUAAGAGAAGGAUAAUAAUUGUCUUGCACUUUCAACUUGAAAUUCUCUGCGUACAAUCAUCUCUGUUGGAUGUAUGCAGACAUUAAUUCUGCAAUCUUGUGCUUUACUUCAGAAUAUUAUUUAGUAACAAUUCAAUUUUCCUCCAAUGCACAGAAUUUGGCCUGCUUUACAAUUGGAGUUAAAUUUCUUCCAUCUGUCUCCUUUGUGCUCAUCAGAGGUUCCAGUUUACAAGUUAAUAUGUAUUAGUUUUAGAAAAUAUUGACCAAGUACAAAGAAGUAUAUCCCUUCCCUAGGAACCUCUGGCUUUGCAAGAAAUAAAUGUUUUCUGUUUGUUUGCAGUUGCAAGCUUUCAUCAAAGAGGAGAUGCAAAGAAAUGAACUUACUGCUGCUUUUGUCAAUGAUGAACUGGUAUUCUUUCUGGUAUGUUCUUGAGUACCAGCUGCCAUCUUCUGUACAUGAAGAUUUACUUGAAUUGCUGGUAUAAUUCUUUUUAUGGUAUUUCAGGCUUCUGCUUUCAUUACCUUCCCUGUACUGGGUGCUUGGAUGCUGCUUUUAACAUAGUUCAGCUAGGUGAAGAAAUUUUCUUUUAGGGGGUAGUGUCUUACCCUGAAAUAGUAGGUGACAUCCAAGCUGUUGUACUUUGUUUUCUCUGAUCUCUUUUACAGAUUGGUUUUUGAUAUUAAAAGGUGAAAGAAGAGUUAGACACAUGUACAGCGUACAGCGCCUGGUCAUUUUGUUGCCAAUGAGUCAAUUUUACAUGGAAGUAUUCCAGGGUCCAGAUCAAUACAGUAUGAUAUUCAUUGACCCAAAUGUUGAUUUUUGAGGCUUAUGAUAUUUGCAUAUAUUUGUAGCGUAAUCAAAAUUGGAGUCGAUCAUUGAAUUGAUUGUGUACAAAUAUACGUAGACAUUAACACAUUGGGAGCGUUUCACGUCCGUGAUAAUUUUAAUCAUUUUUCUUUAAAAAAAAUGUGGGGAUUUGAAUUUUAAUUUUUUUUCUUAAAAAGCUGGUUCCGGUAACGCCGUUGAUGAAACUAAAGAAGAGCCGUGGCAUCCAUGAGUGAAGAAUAACUAUUAAACAAAAACAAAUGAGGAAAGUGGUGAGGAGGAAUCGCAGAUUUUUGUUAAAAGAAAAAGGAAAACGUGAAUUCAUUGAUGAUUCAUCAUCUCUCUGUAGUCAGUCAUCAUGAAAUCAACGUAAAGAAAGGCAAAUGGCAGGCGAUAAGGCAAUUCCUUGAUGAAGGUAUUUCAAGCCUUGCAAAAAAACAAAAACCCUUCCUUUGUUUCUUUUUCUUUUUUUUUGUCACCUUCCGAAGUCACAAGGCUAAUCCAUAGUUGAGACUAAAAAAAGAAAAAAUGGAAGAGUCGACAUGGGAGCAAAAGCUCCAGGCUCUAACCCACAUCCUAACAAGCCCCACAACCUCACCGCCUCUCCACUCUCAACUCUUCAUCUCCACACAAAUCCCAUGUUUCCUCAACUGGGAUUUCCCUCCAAUUCUCUGCAAUAAACCCAACUCCCAUACCUUCCCAUCCCUCCACCUGAAAUGGGGAAUCUCUCUUUUCCUCAAAAGGGUCUCAAGAUUGGGUGUCCACGAAACUUCCUGGAGGUCCAAGUGCCCGUACUAUCAGCCCCCACCACUGAUUCUGGCCAAGGGAGUGGAUGAAGCACAAUGGGUCGAUACGCAAAAGCGAGAGUAUGUUAGGAAGAGGCUGAGAAGGAAACGCCUAGAAAGCCAUGUCCACCCUUUAAUUCCGAUUUUGAUUCCCGAUUUAUUAUUGUUCUCCCUGCUCUGGUUCAAUCCAUUUCCCCUUAAUGAUUCCUGACAAUUUUCCUUGUCUCAGAAUUGCGUAAUAAUAAGUACUUAACUCUUAUGUCUUAUCAGUUCUCUUGUCAACCUUGGAUCAUUUUAUUUGCUUUGGUCGAUUUCGGAUUUCUUUCUCGGUAGCACUGUUGUUUGCCUUAACAAAAUAUCUACUCUCAGAAAUUUUUCUUUCUUUUAUAGAAGAAGAAGAUGAUGAUGAUGAAAAGGGGCUUAAAUUGAGGCCCCAAGUAAAUUAAUUAGAAGCUCCAACGACAUCAUAAAGCAAAACCAGUAAUAAAGAGUUCUGAUUCACUUUGCUUAAUAUAGAAUUUACCUUUGCCAGAUAAGCCCGCCUGUAAUUUUGGUUAACGUCUAAACAUGCAUUUAUUUAUUUAUUUACAACUUACAUCAUCAAUUUUCUCCCCAUGUAUAACCGACCAAACUCCAACUGCACUACCUGAAACUAUUUAUUCGGUUUAGUUAAAUCUGGCCUCCACUUUACCACAACAUAGUGGGGCGGGCCAUCGCCUCCACUUUAUUCAAUACUUUCAGCUUCUAGAAUUAAAAACAAUACAUCAUGGUUUCUUUAUUAUGUUACUUUAAUUUUUUCCCCUUUUCGUAUAGUCUUGUUUUAUAUUAGCAAUGUUCAUAAAAGGUUGAAGUUUUGGAUUUUAAAUGUUUGAGUUUAAGUUUUACCAUCUAUAAUUGCAAUACGGGUCUCUGUCACUUAGUGUCUAUGUUGUGUGUUUUACCUAAUUGUUUUUUUUAGAUUUUAUCAUGUUUUUGUUCAAUUCUUUAUCUAUUAUGAAUUGUAUCAGUUGAAUUUUAAGUUAUAAUUUAUUGAACAUAUAUUUUUUUUUGUCUUCUAAUUGUACAGUUUUAUACCAGUGAAUUUUUUUUAAAAAAAAUCAUGUGAUUAUAGAAUAUAUGACAUAUAUUUAUGAAAUUUUUAGAAAAAAAAAAAAGAAAUGUUAAGUAUAUAUCAUUUUCAGUCACAUUAGAAUCCUGAUAAUACAUUAUUUCUACGGCUUCUACUUCACUAAACUGAUGAUCACAUUGGAUACUACCUUUUCUUUUCUUUUUAACUUAAUAGUUUUAAUGCUUUUCGAGUUUGGCAAACAUUUUUUUCAAAAAUUGGGUAGGAUUCGAUGGCCAGAUUGAUACAAUCUUUGUACGGCCGAAACGCUUCCCCACCGUUAAUCAAGCAACUAAACUUCACUUAAUCCAAGGAAAAGAAGAAAAGCAAAAAGUAAAAGCCAAAAGAAAAAUUAUUCAAUUGAUUGGUCAAACACUAACGUUGACAAUAAAGCAUUUUUCUUUUAACUCUCUACCAUUGAUUUUUUAUUCCAACCCAUCCUUACAGCUUUUUGUUAUUGUUGUUUUCUAAAACAGAACCUCAUAAUAUCAGACAUAUUGGGACUCCGAAAGUUCAACCUUCAGCGCGAAAAAAUCCUUCUUGUUUCCAUUAUGUUCAUUUUGUUAUAGAUAGAGGCAUCGGUGCUUGAAUUUUGAAUGCAUAAGCACGAACCAUAAAGUUCAAUCAAGAUAUGAGGAGAAUUUUCUUUUUCUUUUUCUUUUAUCUUUGCUUUUCUGUUUUUCCUUUGUUGAUGGCGCCAAACGUAGUCUUAAAGUAUAUUAGAUACAUCUGGUGAUCAACAUUCAAUUACAAUAAAGAGUAUAGAUAGAUACAUCAAUACUAUCCAGCCCUCUUUCAUGAUGAUGUUGCAAGUUUUGCACUCCACCCCCAUAUUAUUAUGAAGAGGAGAAAUUCCUGUUACAACAUUAAUUGAGCUUUAUUUUCUAAGAAAUGACUUCUAACAUUAAUAAAUUUGAAUCAAUUUAUAGCUAUUUCUCGUACUCUUUCGUAGUAUAGCUUUCUUUUUAAGCUAAAACAGGAGAUGAUUAUAAGACGUGAAGUUGUCUUAAGAUUAACAAGGCAGUUAGAUGCAUUUAAAUUGGUAUUUAAGGAUAUGUCUGUAUAUAACUAGAACUAAUUAAGAUUACAAUACACUGCAAAAUGAUUCCACCUUUUUUUUUUUUUUUUGGUUCUCUCUUUUAUAUGAUCAAAUACAAUGUUGAUAUGAACAAGGUUUUGCAGUUGUAGAAAAUCGUGGAGGACUUUUUUUUAAAAAAAAGAAAGAUAAAAUUCAUAAAAAAAUGUGAAGUUAAGCAUAUUUAGUGAUGGGUGGGGUAUGGGGUGGUUUGCUAACAUGGAAUGCGCAUGGCAGAUUGGCACUUUAAAGAAGGGAUGGGGCCGAGGGGGCGGGAGUUGUUAAAUCCUCGGCGUAGAAAAAGGUCAGUAAGCGUGUCCCUGGCAUUAGACAAGGAGAGGGGGUAGCGCAUGCACAGCCCAACUAUAUCUCUUUAUUUUAUGUCCCACUCCACUCCCCCUCAUCUCUGCCGCAACAUUAAAUACCUUAUGCAUCCUUACUAUUCAUAAUGGUUUUUUGUUGGGUUGAUGUUACAAAAUUAAAUUUUUUAUUAUAGAUGUAUUAAUAUUUUUAAAAAUAUAUAAGAUUUUUUUUAAGUAGGAGUUUAAUCUUUGGUGGUGAUGUUGAUUUUAGAUAUAUUCCCCACCCGCAAGUAGAUAUCAUACAUUCUAAUAUAAUUAAAAAAAAAGUAUAACUAAAAUAUUUUUUAUAUAUUUUUUAUAUUUUUUGAAUUUUUAAAUUUUAAAAAAUUAAUUAAAUGUUCAUGUGUCAUCUACAUGUAUGCAACGUUAGCGAAGUUUAAAAUAUAUUAAUUUUUUCAUUCGUGAUUUGAAAAAAAAAGGUAAGUUUAAAGGUUAAAAAAGCAUAAAUUUAAAUAAAUAGUUAAAAUAAUUUUUUUUAUAAAGUUAGAGAAUUAAAUAAAUUAUUAUUUUAUUUAAAAAUAAUUUUCAAUAAAUUACUAAUUUAGUCACAUAAUCUAAUAUAAUUUAAAAAAUAAUUAUUAACAUUUUAAUUUGUAUGAAUUCUUGUUAUGUAUGGAUUCUUGUUAUGUAUGGAUUCAAACCCGUUCGUUCCAUCAACAAAUUGAUCUGCAUGAGACUUAAGGGUUAGAAUUUUGUGUAACCCUUUUUCCUCCUAAUUUUUACUUUUAAAAAGAAAUUGCAAUACAAUUUUUUUUUAUAGAAUUCUCCUAUUUUUAUUUAUUUAUUUGCUUAGGAAGUUUUACUGACACUGCUUUUAUUUUUCCAUUAAUCAAAUUUAAGAGACAAUUCACUUUUUAUAAUUAACAAAAAAAAAAAAAAGAAAAUAAAAGAAAUUACUUUUUUCUUUUUCGUGUUCGAUACAAGAUAGAUGAAAUAUGAAAAAUAAAAUGAAAUGAAAAUAUAUUACUAGUUAUAUAUCACCUCCAUUAUGUAGGGGAAAGAAAUAAAAAUAAUAUUAAUUUAUGAUACUUCCAUAAUGUGGUUAAAAAUAAUUAUCUAGUAUUUUUUUGUAAAAAAAAAAGUUGAUAUCUAUGCUACUAAUGAGGUUUCUUAGUGAGUUUGUUACUACUAAUAAAGUUUAUUUGCAUGGUUGAGACCUUAUGCUUUUCAAAUACCCAUAUUUGAAUUUUAAAAAUUGUUGAAUUUUUAUUAUAUUUAAAAAACAAGUUAUUUAUAUAACUAGUAAUGUAUUAUUUUGACUUUUUUUUUAAUCGAGUUAAUGUUGGUUAUUUCGUUAUACCAAUUCAAUAAAAUAUUUUAUUUAUAUUAAAUUAUAGCAUACUCACGAUGUGGGUGAAGUAAAAUUAUUUAACAAAUAUAUUUUGAAAAAUUGAUAAAAAUACUAAAUGAGGUUUUGGUUAAAUAGUAAGAUAUAAUUAUUACAAAUUAUAAAUAUGUAGGUUCAAAAUCUAUCAUGUGUAUAUUUGUACUAUUAUUCUAUAUAAAUUGAUAACCUUAUAAAAGUAUCUAAUUUAGUUUAUGGUUGAUUGAUCGAUAAUACCAAAUUUAUUAAAAAUUAAUAUUAGUAAAGAUAUAUAGUACAAAACUAAACAUAAAAUUUUAUAUGUUAAGGAAAUAGCGGAAAAAAUAUCAUAUUUGUAGAACUGUUUAGCAGUGUGGGAGAAUGUGAUCAUUACAAGGAAAAAUGAAAUAUAUAUCAUUAAUAACAAACAUAAAAGAAAGCGUCUUUUGAUAAAGUUGUUAUUGGUGUAAUGUGAAGGGACCACAAUCAUCACCAUUCACCACUUGCUCCUAAUUGAGUUGAAAUCUUUUUACAACAUAGAAAACUAGAAGAUCGCCCUUUCUUGCUUCCUAUAUAUAGAUUUUGUAUCAUCGCAAUUUCACAUCACACACACAAGUAAAGCAUUAGCAACCAUAGCCAUGGCUUCCUCACCAAAACUCUUCUCUAUGUCUAUCCUCUUCCUUUUUGCCCUCUUCUCCAUGCAAAUCCAUGCUAGAGAGUACUUCAGCAAAUUCCCAAGAGUUAACAUCAAUGAGAAAGAGACAACAACCAGAGAGCAAAAGCACGAGACCUUCGUUCCCCAGACCACCCAAAAGCCAGAAGAACAAGAGCCAAGGUUCAUCCCUGAAACCCAAAAUGGUUAUGGCCUUUACGGCCACGAGUCAGGCUCAGGCUCAAGCCGGCCCAGUUUCACCACCAAAGAAACCUAUGAACCCUAUGUCACCCCUGUUAGAUUCCACCCUGAUGAGCCCUAUAACAGCAUCCCCGAAUCCUCCAACAAUAAAGACACUUACUACUACAACAAGAAUGCCUACGAGUCCACUAAGCAGCAAAACUUGGGCGAGGCCAUUUUCACCGAGAAAGGAUGGAGCACCAAGGAAAACCAGAACAACAACUACUACAACGGCAACAAUGGUUACAACAAUGGCGAGAAGCAAGGCAUGAGCGAUACUAGGUACUUGGAGAAUGGAAAGUACUACUAUGACGUCAAGAGUGAGAACAACUAUUAUCCAAACCGGUUCGACAACUCAAGAGGAGUUGCUUCGAGGAACCAGUUCAAUGAGAAUCGUUACAACAACAUGGGAAGGUACCACCAGAACCAAGAGGAGUUCGAGGAAAGCGAGGAAGAGUUCGAACCCUGAUCACCUGUCGUACAGUAUUUCUACAUUUGAUGUGUGAUUUGUGAAGAACAUCAAACAAAACAAGCACUGGCUUUAAUAUGAUGAUAAGUAUUAUGGUAAUUAAUUAAUUGGCAAAAACAACAAUGAAGCUAAAAUUUUAUUUAUUGAGC
rnacentral:lncRNA from 1 species